rnacentral:lncRNA from 1 species
UAAUCCCAGCACUUUGGGAGGCCGAGGUGGGUGGAUCACGAGGUCAGGAGAUCGAGACCAUCCUGGCUAACACGGUGAAACCCCGUCUCUAUUAAAAAUACAAAAAAUUAGCCGGGUAUGGUGGCGGGCGCCUGUAGUCCCAGCUACUCGGGAGGCUGAGGCAGGAGAAUGGCGUGAACCCGGGAGGUGGAGGUUGCAGUGAGCCGAGAUUGCGCCACUGCACUCCAGCCUGGGUGACAGAGUGAGACUCUGUCUCAGAAAAAAAAAAAAAAAAAAAAAAAAAAAAGG